UCUUCUGCACGGGGGAGGGAAAUGGCACAGACGUAACAAUGGAGGGGACCGAAAUGCGGAAGGCAGCCAAUGGCCUUACUAAUUUGGAUGCAACAUUUCCUUUGCAAGGCGAAAGGAAGCCGCGUCUUUUGGCGCGCGCCGUACCGUGGCGAGCUGGGACUGGAGCUCGAUCUCCAGGGUUUGAAGCACGCGCCGCAGGUUGCUACUCAGUGGGAGAGAAGUGAAAAAAUUAGGAAGUGAUACUUUUCUACCAGCGAUGAACCGCAGUAGCACCGCAUCCCAGGCUACCUCUUCCCCUCUGGCUGGCUGCCUUGGCUCUGAACAAAGAGCAAUCGGAGGGUGAGGAUGUUAAGUGACUUAUUCAAGGCCACACAGCCAGGAGAUGGCCAAGAUAGGAUCUGGGUCUGCAGUGCCUUCUAUACACAACACAACCCUGCUGCUUACAGUGAAAACAAAAAGGACAGAGGGUCGCUCUGACCCCCAAAUCAUGAGACUGGGUUUCUGCCCUGCACAUCAACCAGGAGUUUUAGCUCUUUCCUUUUCAAAAAAGCUUUCUCUUUGAAUUUCAUUUCUCAGUGUACAGCCUGAGACCCGGUGAUCUACUCUUCACGGUUUAUCAGAAAUGGCAUCACAAAUGAAAUCUUGGGAACCUAUAGGCAAAUGUGUUUUUAGUUAUACUUUUUGACAUGUAACCGCAUCUCCAGAGAUCUUAUGAAGUACUAGUUAAACUUGCACUUCCCACCCAGCAACUUGACAUUAUGGGUGUAAAUUAUUAGUCACUCACAAGUAGCAACCCCCUGAGACAGGGUGAACCCAUUUUAUUGCCCUAGAAAUGAAAACAGACGAUUACUUGCUUACAGAGUCAGAAGGAAUGUGCCAAAUUCAGAAUUGUAACUUCGUGAUAUCACAUAAUACGGGAAUAUGAUUAACUUGAAUUUUUGAACUUGGAAUCAAUUUAGUGCUGAAAUGUAUACUUUCCAACUCUAAUGCUUCUAUGUAAAUUUUAAAUAAUCUUGUUCAAUAUCUAUACAUUAUGUUUACACAUUAUACCUUCGUAUUUCUAUACAUAUAUAUUAUCCUAGACUGUAAGCUUCUCAGGCAAGGGCUAUGUCUACUUCAUUUUUUAUCCUGAGUCUUAGCCUAGUAUUUGGCUAAACUUCAUUCUUGCACGCUUAGAGUUAUUUCACUUGAAAGGACUUAAUCCUUAAUGUAUUUGAAUGUGUCAUUUAAAAUUCAUUUCAUUUGAAAAUGACUUUGCUCUAAUUUACUGGUAUGCUUUGACCGAGAUUUAUUCUGAAUCCAAUUAUGAAUGGGGAGCAACUUCAGAAGUUGAAAAGAGAAAUAUUCCUUCUUCAGUGGCUUCUUUUUGUGGGGGGAGGGAAGGCUAAGCUAAAUAAUUAAGCCUCUAUUUUAGAGUUUUUAGAAGUGAAAGUAAAUUCCUUUGACAGCUGUAAAAAUACAGGAAGGUGGGAAUGUAUAAAAUGGGCUUGUUGGCAAAAUGAUUACAUAAGUUGAGGCACAGAGGAACACGACUACAACUUGGGUGACUGUUCAAAAGAAUUACAUCUUCCAUUUCUGUAGAGUUUAGAGAAUAUUCAAAAUGAGGAUUAUUAUUUAUAUGGCAUUUGUAAAUCUUUAGAUUUUUAUUAAGUAAAACAUGUGCUCAUCUUCUCAUGUCA